UGUCAAAAUGGGUAUAAUUUAGUGGAUCAACCCAAACCAAACCAAUCCAUGGACUUUAAUGAGUCAAGAAUUUGGAUCUUAUUGGAUAAUUGGGUUUAAUGGAUAGUGGGUUUAAUAAGUUUGGUUUAGAAUGAGUUGGACUAAUAUGAGUUAAUGAAUAACCCAAACCAAACCAAUUUCUUCUUUAAUUCCCUUAAAAAAAUUUAGAAGCAGCGACGAUCCUCUCGAAAGCUCCGACGAUCGCCUUCGGCGACCCUUUAAGCUUCGGCGGCGAUCCUCUCGAUCACCCUCUUCGGCCGCGACCCUCUCCAUUUCACCCUCUUCGGCCGCGACCCUCUCGAUCUCUUCGAUUGAUCUCGAUCUCUUCAAUUGAUCUCUACCGUUUCUCAUCUCGUCACCUGCUGUAUCUCGUCAUCUAAGAGGCUCGAUCUCAUCUCCAUCUACCGUAUCUCAUCUCGUCACCUGCCGUAUCUCGUCACCUAAGAGGCUCGAUCUCAUCUCCAUCUUCUCGAUUGUUAUAUUCGUUUGUCUAAAAAUGAUGAACAAUGAUGAAGAGUGUCUUCCAAGUGAUGUUGGUGGACCCAAUGGUGGACAAUCAUCAACAAGUGCAUCACAAUAUCUUCUUGUAAGUUCCACUCAUUCAAAAAGAACUAAAAGAUCAACUACAUGAGACUUCUUUACAAUAGGAAAAGAUGAGAAUUGUCAAGAGAGAGCUUAUUGUAAGAAGUGCCCAAAAAACUAUUUGUGGUUUAGAACUAGUGGAACUUCUAACUUAAAACGCCACGCUGAAAAAUGCUCACAGGGAUUAGAUGGUGAAAGAGAAGAGAGGAAGAUUGAUGAUAAAGUUGCCAGGGAAAAAUUCAGUCGAGUCAUUAUCCGAUGUAAUCUUCCUUUCCUUGCGGUUGAAUAUGAGGAACUUAGGGAUUAUCUAAGUUAUUUAAACCCAGAUUAUAAGUGUUACAUUAGGAACACUGCUGCAAUCGACGUGGUUAAAACUUGGGAGAAAGAGAAGCAAAAGAUAAAGUCUUUCUGAAAUGAAAUGGACAAGAGUUUUAUGUAUGAUUAAGUUGACUUUGUUUCUUUUUUUGUCUAACAGAAUUUUUCCAUGUUUGUUGUGUUUUUACAGGAAGUUUGUUAUUAAAGACAAAAGACAAUGACAAGAAUAAUUCCAUACAGAUGUUCACAUGAUGUUGCUUUUUAAUGAAAAUACUAUGUUUUAAUUUUAUGUUUUAUAAUUUUAUUAAUUUUAACAAUUUGCUUAUAAAUUUGCAUGAUACUAUUUUAGACAGUGUUAAUGAUAUUUUUAUUUGAAAAAUUUAUAUAAAUUUCUCUUUA